rnacentral:lncRNA from 1 species
UUAGCACAUAUAAACUGCUGUAUAUCUUUUCUUUGAGAAGACAUCUUCAAUCUAGUAGUAUUUGAGUUAAUCAGGGGUUGAGGAUUUUCAUUUAUUUGUUUAUUUAUUUAUUUAUCUAUCUAUUUAUUUAUUUAUUCAUUCAUUUAUUUAUUUAUUCAUUUAUUUAUUUGUUUAUUUAUUUAUUCAUUCUUUUGGAGAAGUUUUUAUCAUGGAAGUAGGAACAGAGAUGAAAAUUCCGAGGGCAGGAGCUACAGUUCCCAGAAGCUUCCUCAGGACUGGGAAAAGACGUGGAUACAUGAGGACAGUCUCUGGGAAGAAGAAAGACUUCUACUUCAGUUACAUUGCUAAAAUCCUGAAGCAAGUCCAUCAGGAUUUCAGUGGGUACAGCUGGGUCUUGGAUGCCCUGUGGUCACUGGAUUACUAUCUGUUUGAACAGGCUACCUUAGAGGCAGUAAGGCUGUCCUUCUAUAAUCACAGGAGAGUGGUCACCAGCAGAGAAAUGCUUGAGGCAUUGAAUAAGGUGCCUCUGGAAGGAUGGAUGUAAGACCUGCUCUGAGAGCUCACAUCCCUGUGGAUAGUUAUUAUUAUUAUUAUAAUAAAGCACAUUAAAAUUUUUUAUAAUUUUUCUUU